GGGCCUAUUGAAGGAGACACAGUUGCAUGGGCUGAAGCUUGUGAGAUAAAGGGCAAGGCCCGUUGUGGACUUUGUGCUUUUAAAUUCAUGACUGAAGGGUGAAGCUUCUUCCAGGUAUCAGUCCAUGCGUCUGGACUUAGGGUAGAGGGCUAAGUGAAACUUUUUAGCGCCGAUUCCAUCAAAUUGAUGUAGAGAACUUGUUGUUCUGUCAGAGAGGAGUGGGCUUGAUUCGACGAGUUGACUAAUGUGAAGCUAUUUGAUGGGGAUGAAAUAAUUUCGCGAGUAAUGGUGGACCGGUUGGUUGUUGAAGGGAAUUUAUGGUCUAUAGUAUACUGAGUCGGAACAGUGAACAGCGGGCUGGUGGAAGAGUCGCUUGCAAGUUUCGUUCCCUUCUGGUAGUGAUUGCUGCCGUGACCAUUAUUACCACCGUGAUCAUCCUGUUUGCUCGAUUGGUUCUUCCAACGUUUCAUCUGGGAUGAGAUUAAGAUCCCCCAAGAGAGUGAUUCAAUUUGCUGUAUGAGUGAGUCCAUAUCCAUUUUGCUAGUUGAAAGAGGGUCAAAACAAUCUCCAAUGGAAGACUCUCACCUGUUCUGUUUCCUUAGAUGCAGAGAGAGUGGAAGAGUUUAGUACUUUUUUUCUCUUACUAUUGCUUUGUUCCCAUUAUGCUGAAGUUGCUAUAGAUGCAAAACAACAAUUGAACCAUACAAUUAUUGGUGGGUGUGAAAUAAGAAUUGUGUUUGGUGAGGAGAACAGAAAUAUAACUUCUCAUGUAAGCUUACUCAAGGUCACCUACACUAGCUAGGCAUGACUCAAGGUUUGGAUUCUAUCUCUUAGAAGAAUUUCCAUUAAAAAUUGGGGAUUGUUUGUAGUUAUUUUUGUCAUUCUUAAUACUUAUAUGCUAUAUGUUACUUCUUAAAAAAAAAACUUCAGUGCUAUAUAUAUGCACUUAAUGGAAUUUAGUGCUACAUGCUUGGAGUACUAUUAUGGUUCUUUUAAUCUUUUUGGUGCCAUGGGGUAUGCACAACUAUUUUUUUAUAACCCUCUGCAUAUUUUGUUUGUCCAUUUCAUUUGUUGUAGUCAGGCAAAAGUUUUGAGUCAAUGAACUGAGAAUUUCCUAAUCAAGAGUGGUCCUAAGCUGUGAUUUUGGUCAAACUGUGUUGUUGCAUUAAUGGAAUGAUCGUGUAUGAAUUCAUUUACAGUUUGAACUUUUAAGGGGAGACAGAUGAAUGGGUUCUCAGCAUAAAAGCUUUCAUCUUUUAGCAAUGCUACUCAAAAUUGCUUUAAAAGCGUAAUUUGCAAUCAUGAUGGUGGAGCUAGUAGAAGUUUUCUUUUUCCAUAUACCUUACAUAAAUUAGUUAAAAACAAAUAAAUUUAAUUAUGUAUGUAUAAUAUAAAAACUCAAACCAUAAGAAAUAGUGAAUAUUAAUCAUUUAAACAUUAAUUAAAAAUAUAUAAAAACAAUAUCUGAUGACAUCUUAUAUUAAUUUUAUCUGUGCUUGAGAAAGUUGUUUCCAUGCUGAUAUGCAUGUGUAUGAUGACUUGGCAUGUUUGCCUCCCAUAUUCAUAGGCAACAUGGUUCAAUACCUUAAGUUAUGACUUGGAUACAAUAUCUUAUUGUUGGGGGGAAUUUUUGUUAGGGGGCCUAAAGCCCAGAAUGACCAGACCAAGCCCAUCGCCUAUCACCUUCCCAGGCCCCAUAAGCCAUGAGGCAUACCGGCCCAAGCCCACUAGAACAUCCCAGCAGCUCGGGGCAGACCCAUGAUCUGUACGGGUCGGGCACCAACAUCUGCGCUAAGAUGGAACGUUGCUAGAACAGCAUAGGAAACCAUGGUUAGAGGAAAGGGAAAGAAACACGCCAAGAAGAAGAAGCGAAAUUGAGCAGCAACGCUAGAGGACCACACCACAUUAAAUGAAUAUACUGGAUAACCAAGACACAUUAAAUGAUUGACACUAGGAGACCACGCUGCAUUAAAGACAACAUGGUAGUGGAAGCUCCGGGAGAGGCCUCCCACUUCCCCAGAACGCAGGGUAUGGCCUCUUGAUUUGAGAGCCAAAUAUAAAAAGACCCCUAGAAUUAUGAGGUAAGGGAGAUCUCUUCUCGAUCUUGACAACUAUCACUUACUAUCCCUCUUUGACGUAUUUUGGAGCGAAGAAAUUGACUUAGGCAAUGGAGGUUCCCCGGGCCACCAUAGGGCCGUCCCUUUUCUUUGUUGCAGGACACCAUAAAGAACGAAGGCCCGGACUGCUGAGUAACCCAGCCCAAAGGCGUAUGAAAUAUGAUAUUAAUAGUUGAAUAUAAAAGACCCCUAGAAUUACGAGAUAGGGGAGAUCUCUUCUUGGUCUUGAAAAUUAUCGCUUACUAUCCCUCUUUGAUGUAUUUUGGAGCGAAGAAAUUGACUUAGGCAUUGGAGGUUCCUCAUGCCACCAUAGGGCUGCCCCCUUUCUUUGUUACAGGACACCCAAAAGAACGAGGGCCCAGACUGUUGAUUAACCUGGCCCAAAGGCAUACGAAACACGAUAUUAACAGUUGAAUAUAAAAAGACCCCUAGAAUUACGAGAUAGCGGAGAUCUCUUCUCGAUCUUGAAAACUAUUUCUUACUAUCCCUCUUUGACGUAUUUUGGAGUGAAGAAACUGACUUAAGCAUUGGAGGUUCUCCGGGCCACUACAGGGCCGCCCCUCCUUUACUUGUUGUAGGACACCUAGAGGAAUGAAGGCUCGGACUGCUGAGUAACCCGACCCAAAGGAGUAUGAAACAUGACGUUAACACUUCUCAUUCACGAUACUCAUUUUGUUACAUGGUUUCUCUACAACAGGUCCAAGUUGGUGGUUCCCCAAUGUACAAAAUAGACAGAAAAUUGGGUAAAGGAGGAUUUGGAUAAGUGUAUGUUGGUCGACAUGUUGGUGCUACGAGUUCAAAAGAAUGAAUUAGCCUUGGAGCUGUUGAGGUAUCACAUGUUUGUUAUAUGAUGUAUGUGCUCAUGUAGUAAUUAUGUAAUUUAUGUAUUAACCUGUAUGAAUGAUCAUUCUAAAUUUUUAGGUAGCUUUAAAAUUUGAGCAUAGGAGUAGUAAAGGACGUAAUUAUGGACUGCUGUAUGAGUGGCAAGUUUUGCAAGUGAGGCCCCUAUCAGUCCCAGUAUUCUAUUUUUUGGUGCAAUGCUUUCUCACUUUGAACUUCUUACUAUAUGUAUGUUUUCAGCUGACAAUUUUAAUAUUUGCUGUGCAGUGCACUUGGUGGCACUCAUGGUGUUCCACGAGUUCAGAAACCUUAUUUUCAUAAUUUUUUUUUUUUUCAUGUUUUCAUCUAGAACUUUCUUUUCUCCUUAUUGUGUUAUGCUCUAUUAAAGCAAAUAGAAGAGUGACCGAAAGCCAUUCGUAAAUAUGCUUCUAUGGGUUGUAUGUAUUGAGCAAAUAGUAGAGCAAUUUUCAAUGUGUUGCCUUUCGGCCUUUACAUGUAUUUAUACAUUCCAUUCACAACCAACUCUCCACCUAAUCUAUUGACAUGUGUCUCUGCAAAAUAACAUUCUGUUACAACAAUAUUUUAAUCCUUA